UACGAAGGGGGCGAGCGUUGUUCGGAUUUACUGGGCGUAAAGGGCGCGCAGGCGGCGGACCAAGUCAGGCGUGAAAGCCCCGGGCUUAACCUGGGAACUGCGUCUGGGACUGGUUUGCUAGAGUUCGGGAGAGGAGAGUGGAAUUCCCAGUGUAGAGGUGAAAUUCGUAGAUAUUGGGAAGAACACCGGUGGCGAAGGCGGCUCUCUGGACCAAGACUGACGCUGAGGCGCGAAAGCCAGGGGAGCAAACGGG
rnacentral:rRNA from 1 species